CCUACGGGGGACAGCAGUGAGGAAUAUUGGUCAAUGGGCGCGAGCCUGAACCAGCCAAGUCGCGUGAGUGAUGAAGGUUCUAUGGAUCGUAAACCUCUUUUAUCAGGGAAUAAAGUGUGGGACGUGUCCUAUUUUGUAUGUACCUUAUGAAUAAGGAUCGGCUAACUCCGUGCCAGCAGCCGCGGUAAUACGGAGGAUCCGAGCGUUAUCCGGAUUUAUUGGGUUUAAAGGGUGCGUAGGCGGCCUUUUAAGUCAGCGGUGAAAGUCUGUGGCUCCACCCUAGAAUUUCCGUUGAAACUGGGGGGCUUGAGUAUGUUAGAGGUACGCGGAAUGCGUGGUGUAGCGGUGAAAUGCUUAGAUAUCACGCAGAACCCCGAUUGCGAAGGCAGCCUGCC
rnacentral:rRNA from 1 species